rnacentral:lncRNA from 1 species
GGGGCCAGCUGUCACCGCGGCUGCCGCCGGCGCACGUGGGCUGUAGCCAGUCCCCGAGCACAGGGAGCGCGGGGUGCUCCCACCCUGACCCGCUCAGGGAUUGUCCUACCUGGCAGCUCUCUCAGCAUCUUCAGAGUUCAAUCAACUUCCUGCAGAUGAAUUUUCAGUAAAAUCUGUCCCUGGUCAGUCUGCAAGACUCAGUCAGCAGUGACUCUCAGAGGGGCAGCUCUCCACUCUGAUGGAACUCUGCCUGUGAUGCCAGUGGAUGCCAGGUUCUCUCUGCACAGUAUCUCAUUUAAUCCUGACAAUGGCUCUGUAAGGUCAUCCACCGGACGGUGUUCCAGGAGGGCAGUGGAGGCGGCAGGCCUGGCUUCUUUUCAUCUCCAGCCGAGCAGUUUGCUUGAAGAAAGGUCAGAGUUGAACGAAGUGGUUUCCCGAUGCGGAGAUCCACCGUAGAGAAGCCAGGGGCGCCUCUCACAGCAUUUGAAUGGCAGGGGAAGGGCUACCGCCUGGGCCUCCCCCCAAAGGGAGAAGGGGCCCGUGCCCUCUGACCUCUGCCUCACGUGCAUGUGCUCCAGGAAGGGGCAAAAGAGUGAGUGUGGGUCUCACAGCUUCUCCCCCAGCUGCUGCUGAAGGCUCUGUGCUUUCAGGAGGACGAGGGAGCCUGGGGUCUAUACGUAGUCCCGUGAACCUUGUUAAACAGUGAGAAAAGGCGGAGUGGCCCCAGGCCGCCUUGGCAGCUGUCUUUGGAGAAGGACUUUCUAAGCCAGGAAGUGGGAACCUUUUCACCUCCCGGAAACAGACUUAGGAGCACAUGAGAAGCAAGAUCACCGGGCCCAUUAUCAUCCGGCUGGCCUCAGAGGGCACUGCUUUUCAUGGACAAGACAUGCAAAACUUUUCAAGGUCCCUAGAAACUCAUCAGGCCCAUGGCACUUUCUGCGCAUGUUCCAGCAACAUUUUGGGGAAGAAAUGGCACCUGUCAGACUCAGUAAUGCCCUCGGAGCCCCGGGGCGCUUCAGGGAACGUGUGCCUGUCAUCACCAAUGAUGGGAAAGUCCACACUGGGGAGCUGAGACGACAGGCAGCAGGUG